CGGUAAUACCGGCAGCUCAAGUGGUCGUCGCUUUUAUUGGGCCUAAAACGUCCGUAGCCUGUUUGGUAAAUCUGUGGGUAAAUCAACCAGCUUAACUGGUUGAAUUCUGCAGAGACUGCCAGACUAGGGACCGGGAGAGGUGUGGGGUACUCGAGGGGUAGGGGUAAAAUCCUGUCAUCCUUCGAGGACCACCAGUUGCGAAGGCGCCACACUGGAACGGAUCCGACGGUCAGGGACGAAGCCUAGGGGCACGAACCGGAUUAGAUACCCGGGUAGUCCUAGGUGUAAACGCUGUGAACUUGGUGUCGGGGGUCCGCAAGGGGUCCCCGGUGCCGGAGUGAAGAUGUUAAGUUCACUGCCUGGGGAGUACGGUCGCCGGUAAUACCGGCAGCUCAAGUGGUCGUCGCUUUUAUUGGGCCUAAAACGUCCGUAGCCUGUUUGGUAAAUCUGUGGGUAAAUCAACCAGCUUAACUGGUUGAAUUCUGCAGAGACUGCCAGACUAGGGACCGGGAGAGGUGUGGGGUACUCGAGGGGUAGGGGUAAAAUCCUGUCAUCCUUCGAGGACCACCAGUUGCGAAGGCGCCACACUGGAACGGAUCCGACGGUCAGGGACGAAGCCUAGGGGCACGAACCGGAUUAGAUACCCGGGUAGUCCUAGGUGUAAACGCUGUGAACUUGGUGUCGGGGGUCCGCAAGGGGUCCCCGGUGCCGGAGUGAAGAUGUUAAGUUCACUGCCUGGGGAGUACGGUCGC
rnacentral:rRNA from 1 species